rnacentral:rRNA from 1 species
GAUGAACGCUGGCGGCGUGCCUAAUACAUGCAAGUCGAGCGAACGGACGAGAAGCUUGCUUCUCUGAUGUUAGCGGCGGACGGGUGAGUAACACGUGGAUAACCUACCUAUAAGACUGGGAUAACUUCGGGAAACCGUAGCUAAUACCGGAUAAUAUUUUGAACCGCAUGGUUCAAAAGUGAAAGACGGUCUUGCUGUCACUUAUAGAUGGAUCCGCGCUGCAUUAGCUAGUUGGUAAGGUAACGGCUUACCAAGGCAACGAUGCAUAGCCGACCUGAGAGGGUGAUCGGCCACACUGGAACUGAGACACGGUCCAGACUCCUACGGGAGGCAGCAGUAGGGAAUCUUCCGCAAUGGGCGAAAGCCUGACGGAGCAACGCCGCGUGAGUGAUGAAGGUCUUCGGAUCGUAAAACUCUGUUAUUAGGGAAGAACAUAUGUGUAAGUAACUGUGCACAUCUUGACGGUACCUAAUCAGAAAGCCACGGCUAACUACGUGCCAGCAGCCGCGGUAAUACGUAGGUGGCAAGCGUUAUCCGGAAUUAUUGGGCGUAAAGCGCGCGUAGGCGGUUUUUUAAGUCUGAUGUGAAAGCCCACGGCUCAACCGUGGAGGGUCAUUGGAAACUGGAAAACUUGAGUGCAGAAGAGGAAAGUGGAAUUCCAUGUGUAGCGGUGAAAUGCGCAGAGAUAUGGAGGAACACCAGUGGCGAAGGCGACUUUCUGGUCUGUAACUGACGCUGAUGUGCGAAAGCGUGGGGAUCAAACAGGAUUAGAUACCCUGGUAGUCCACGCCGUAAACGAUGAGUGCUAAGUGUUAGGGGGUUUCCGCCCCUUAGUGCUGCAGCUAACGCAUUAAGCACUCCGCCUGGGGAGUACGACCGCAAGGUUGAAACUCAAAGGAAUUGACGGGGACCCGCACAGGCGGUGGAGCAUGUGGUUUAAUUCGAAGCAACGCGAAGAACCUUACCAAAUCUUGACAUCCUUUGACAACUCUAGAGAUAGAGCCUUCCCCUUCGGGGGACAAAGUGACAGGUGGUGCAUGGUUGUCGUCAGCUCGUGUCGUGAGAUGUUGGGUUAAGUCCCGCAACGAGCGCAACCCUUAAGCUUAGUUGCCAUCAUUAAGUUGGGCACUCUAAGUUGACUGCCGGUGACAAACCGGAGGAAGGUGGGGAUGACGUCAAAUCAUCAUGCCCCUUAUGAUUUGGGCUACACACGUGCUACAAUGGACAAUACAAAGGGCAGCGAAACCGCGAGGUCAAGCAAAUCCCAUAAAGUUGUUCUCAGUUCGGAUUGUAGUCUGCAACUCGACUACAUGAAGCUGGAAUCGCUAGUAAUCGUAGAUCAGCAUGCUACGGUGAAUACGUUCCCGGGUCU